GGAAAGGCGCGCGAUACAGGGUGACAGCCCCGUACACAAAAAUGCACAUGCUGUGAGCUCGAUGAGUAGGGCGGGACACGUGGUAUCCUGUCUGAAUAUGGGGGGACCAUCCUCCAAGGCUAAAUACUCCUGACUGACCGAUAGUGAACCAGUACCGUGAGGGAAAGGCGAAAAGAACCCCGGCGAGGGGAGUGAAAAAGAACCUGAAACCGUGUACGUACAAGCAGUGGGAGCACGCUUAGGCGUGUGACUGCGUACCUUUUGUAUAAUGGGUCAGCGACUUAUAUUCUGUAGCAAGGUUAACCGAAUAGGGGAGCCGAAGGGAAACCGAGUCUUAACUGGGCGUUAAGUUGCAGGGUAUAGACCCGAAACCCGGUGAUCUAGCCAUGGGCAGGUUGAAGGUUGGGUAACACUAACUGGAGGACCGAACCGACUAAUGUUGAAAAAUUAGCGGAUGACUUGUGGCUGGGGGUGAAAGGCCAAUCAAACCGGGAGAUAGCUGGUUCUCCCCGAAAGCUAUUUAGGUAGCGCCUCGUGAAUUCAUCUCCGGGGGUAGAGCACUGUUUCGGCAAGGGGGUCAUCCCGACUUACCAACCCGAUGCAAACUGCGAAUACCGGAGAAUGUUAUCACGGGAGACACACGGCGGGUGCUAACGUCCGUCGUGAAGAGGGAAACAACCCAGACCGCCAGCUAAGGUCCCAAAGUCAUGGUUAAGUGGGAAACGAUGUGGGAAGGCCCAGACAGCCAGGAUGUUGGCUUAGAAGCAGCCAUCAUUUAAAGAAAGCGUAAUAGCUCACUGGUCGAGUCGGCCUGCGCGGAAGAUGUAACGGGGCUAAACCAUGCACCGAAGCUGCGGCAGCGACGCUGAUGCGUUGUUGGGUAGGGGAGCGUUCUGUAAGCCUGCGAAGGUGUGCUGUGAGGCAUGCUGGAGGUAUCAGAAGUGCGAAUGCUGACA
rnacentral:rRNA from 1 species